AUUGAACGCUGGCGGCAGGCCUAACACAUGCAAGUCGAACGGUAGCACAGAGAGCUUGCUCUCGGGUGACGAGUGGCGGACGGGUGAGUAAUGUCUGGGAAACUGCCCGAUGGAGGGGGAUAACUACUGGAAACGGUAGCUAAUACCGCAUAACGUCUUCGGACCAAAGUGGGGGACCUUCGGGCCUCACACCAUCGGAUGUGCCCAGAUGGGAUUAGCUAGUAGGUGGGGUAAUGGCUCACCUAGGCGACGAUCCCUAGCUGGUCUGAGAGGAUGACCAGCCACACUGGAACUGAGACACGGUCCGGACUCCUACGGGAGGCAGCAGUGGGGAAUAUUGCACAAUGGGCGCAAGCCUGAUGCAGCCAUGCCGCGUGUAUGAAGAAGGCCUUCGGGUUGUAAAGUACUUUCAGCGGGGAGGAAGGCGGUGAAGUUAAUAGCUUCAUCGAUUGACGUUACCCGCAGAAGAAGCACCGGCUAACUCCGUGCCAGCAGCCGCCGUAA
rnacentral:rRNA from 1 species